AAAAAUAAAUACGAUACUCUAGAUAACCUCUCGGGUGAAGUGCUCACCGAUAUCCGUGCGCUUGCGGAUCAAUUCCUUAUUGCGUUCCCAAAUAUCAACAAGCAUUUCUGGCGCCGUUGCCGGGGAGAAAGAUGGUUUGCUGAGAUAACCUUGAGUCUUACUACUAGCUUGUAUCUAUACUUUUAUCUUUUCUUAUCUUUUAUAUU
rnacentral:lncRNA from 1 species